rnacentral:rRNA from 1 species
CAGCCGCCGCGGUAAUACAGAGGGUGCGAGCGUUAAUCGGAUUUACUGGGCGUAAAGCGUGCGUAGGCGGCUUUUUAAGUCGGAUGUGAAAUCCCUGAGCUUAACUUAGGAAUUGCAUUCGAUACUGGGAAGCUAGAUUAUGGGAGAGGAUGGUAGAAUUCCAGGUGUAGCGGUGAAAUGCGUAGAGAUCUGGAGGAAUACCGAUGGCGAAGGCAGCCAUCUGGCCUAAUACUGACGCUGAGGUACGAAAGCAUGGGGAGCAAACAGGAUUAGAUACCCCGGUAGUCCCUGUCUCUUAUAC